rnacentral:misc_RNA from 1 species
GAUGAAGAACGUAGCGAAAUGCGAUAAGUAGUGUGAAUUGCAGAAUUCAGUGAAUCAUCGAAUCUUUGAACGCACAUUGCGCCCGCCAGUAUUCUGGCGGGCAUGCCUGUUCGAGCGUCAUUUCAAUCAUCAAGCCCCAGGCUUGUGUUGGGGACCUGCGGCUGCCGCAGGCCCUGAAAACCAGUGGCGGGCUCGCUGUCACACCGGGCGUAGUAGAUUUUAUCUCGCUCAGGGCGUGCUGCGGGUUCCGGCCGUUAAAAAGCCUUUUUUACCCAAGGUUGACCUCGGAUCAGGUAGGAAUACCCGCUGAACUUAAGCAUAUCAAUAAGCGGAGGA